rnacentral:rRNA from 2 species
UACGAAGGGGGCUAGCGUUGUUCGGAUUUACUGGGCGUAAAGCGCACGUAGGCGGACUUUUAAGUCAGGGGUGAAAUCCCAGAGCUCAACUCUGGAACUGCCUUUGAUACUGGAAGUCUUGAGUAUGGUAGAGGUGAGUGGAAUUCCGAGUGUAGAGGUGAAAUUCGUAGAUAUUCGGAGGAACACCAGUGGCGAAGGCGGCUCACUGGACCAUUACUGACGCUGAGGUGCGAAAGCGUGGGGAGCAAAC